rnacentral:rRNA from 1 species
CCUACGGGUGGCAGCAGUGAGGAAUAUUGGUCAAUGGACGAGAGUCUGAACCAGCCAAGUAGCGUGAAGGAUGACUGCCCUAUGGGUUGUAAACUUCUUUUAUAUGGGAAUAAAAUGUUACAAGAGUGGGAUUUUGUAUGUACCAUAUGAAUUAGGAUCGGCUAACUCCGUGCCAGCAGUCGCGGUAAUACGGAGGAUCCGAGGGUUAUACGGAUUUAUUGGGUUUAAAGGGAGCGUAGGUGGGUUGUUAAGUCAGUUGUGAAAGUUUAGGGCUCAACCGUUAAAUUGCAGUUGAAACUGGCAGUCGUGAGUACAGUAGAGGUGGGCGGAAUUCGUGGUGUAGCGGUGAAAUGCUUAGAUAUCACGAAGAACUCCGAUGGCGAAGGCAGCUCACUGGACUGCAACUGACACUGAGGCUCGAAAGUGUGGGUAGCAAACAGGAUUAGAUACCCGGGUAGUC